GGGGUAGGGGCAGGGGCAGGGGCAGGGGCUGGGAGCCUGGCGAGGAGUGGGAGUCACAGAGUGAGGGAGGCCCAGCUCCCCCCAGGUCUCUGUGCCCCUGGGUCAGGGUGGGCAGGGUCGGGGCCAGUCCCGGCCGUGAGCGGGGUCGGGGUCAUGGCACAGGCCCAAGGUACCAGCGAUCAUGGGAUGGGGAGCCAAGCGGACGGGAGGCCACGGUGGGGCCGGGGCCGGGUGCGGGGGAGGGUUAUGCCUCCGGGGAGACGAAGGCACAGCGAUGAUGGGUGCCUUGGCACGUGUGUUUUCCAAGUCAGGGGUCUGAGCAGCAGGUGGGACCAGAACAGGUGACGUCCCAAACUGAGCUCACUCUGUGUCCCGGCCGCAUCACGGCCACUGGCUGCCUUCUUGGCAGGUGGGGGAAGGGCGGCAGGCAGGCGGGUGGGCACCCCCGCGGCCCCUCCCUCAGGAACGGCACGCGCCCAUGCAUAUGCACCCACGUGCCCCACGCGAGCAUGCACAGCCCCCCACUCAGCCUCCGGGAGAAGGCCUGGUCUCCACCUCCCCUGCGUCCUCAACCCGAGGGGAGGAAGCGCUCAAGGGGGGCAGGGGGCUGUGGAGGCCCCAGGCCACGCCAGGCCAGCCCCAGAGCCCCUGACCCAGCAGCCAGCCGGGUGCCACCGGGCCCCACUCUUGGUCCCACUUUCUGUCAACGGGCCAGUGAGGAGGGGCGAGGGGAGUGGAAGUGUUUGGUUUCAGAUCCAAGGGCCUGGGCUGCCGAGGCUUGGGGGGCAGUGAUGUGGAGGGGCUGCCUGGGACCCUCAAAGGAAGAGGGGUUGGGGGUGCCCCUUCCCCCAGGGCACUAGCUCAGCAGCCCGGGUGGUCCCAGCUGUGCCCUCCAUCCUUCGAAUGACCAGGACCCCCGGGGUGGAGACGAGCUGGGAGGUAGGAACAGGCGGGCGGGCCUGGGUGUCCAGGACCCAUCGACAGAGGGGUCAGCGUGAGGGACAUGAGUAGAGGAGGGCCGGUCCUGACCCCACCUCCUCCAGGCCCCUGCCCUGCCCAGAGGGGCCACUGAACACAUGACUGAGGAGGCGGGGCUUCCAAGCCCAGGACACACCCUGAGCCCCGCCCAGCAGCUUCUGUAAACAUACACAGCACUGCAGGCCCCCGCGGGGGUCACCCAGGGGCUGGCCAGCAGGCACCAGAUCUGGGGGGGUGGGGGGUGCGGGGAGGACAGAUGCUGGCCUGGACCACAGAUGAGAAUAGGUGGGGAAGGGCAGCCAGAGGGCAGUGAAGGGAGUCAGGAUGCCACUGCCUGUCCUGGAGUAGGGGUGCCAGGAGGCCUGGGGGCGGGGGGGCAGGUGGCAGGGCCCCGGGCUCUUCCCCACUCCUCACCCCUCGCCUGUCUGGAGGGCCCAGCUGCCAGCUGCCUUGGCUCUGGGGGUCCUAGGCUGAGGUAGGGACAUGGACCCCCAGCUCAGCAGCUGUGCCCAGGCCUGAGGCUGCACUGGCCCCUAGGGCCUCUCCUCAAAGCUGCCGGGACCUGGGGCAGCCGCCUGGAGCCCUGGG